rnacentral:rRNA from 1 species
ACGUAGAGUGUAAAGGCAAAAGAGAGCUUGAUUGCAAGACAUACAGGUCGAGCAAGGAUGAAAAUCGGACUUAGUGAUCCGGUGGUUCUGCGUGGAAGGGCCAUCGCUCAACGGAUAAAAGCUACCCUGGGGAUAACAGGCUUAUCUCCCCCAAGAGUCCACAUCGACGGGGAGGUUUGGCACCUCGAUGUCGGCUCAUCCCAUCCUGGGGCUGGAGUAGGGACCAAGGGUUGGGCUGUUCACCCAUUAAAGUGGACCGCGAGCUGGGUUCAGAACGUCGUGAGACAGUUCGGUCCCUAUCCGUCGCAGGCGUAGGAAAUUUGAGAAGACCUGUCCUUAGUACGAGAGGACCGGGAUGGACGUACCUCUGGUGUACCAGUUGUCCUGCCAAGGGCAUGGCUGGGUAGCUAUGUACGGAAUGGAUAAGCGCUGAAAGCAUC